AAGAAAUUAGUUUAUAAAAAACAUUAACUUGUCAAGUUAAAAAAAUAAUAUUUAUAUUUCUUA
rnacentral:tRNA from 2 species